rnacentral:rRNA from 1 species
GACGAACGCUGGCGGCGUGCUUAACACAUGCAAGUCGAACGGAAAGGCCCUGCUUUUGUGGUGUGCUCGAGUGGCGAACGGGUGAGUAACACGUGAGUAACCUGCCCUUGACUUUGGGAUAACUUCAGGAAACUGGGGCUAAUACCGGAUAGGAGCUCCUGCUGCAUGGUGGGGGUUGGAAAGUUUCGGCGGUUGGGGAUGGACUCGCGGCUUAUCAGCUUGUUGGUGGGGUAGUGGCUUACCAAGGCUUUGACGGGUAGCCGGCCUGAGAGGGUGACCGGCCACAUGGGGACUGAGAGACGGACCAGACUCCUACGGGAGGCAGUAGGGGGGAAUAUUGCACAAUGGGCGGAAGCCUGAUGCAGCAACGCCGCGUGCGGGAUGAAGGCCUGCGGGGUGUAAACCGCUUUCGCCUGUGACGAAGCGUGAGUGACGGUAAUGGGUAAAGAAGCACCGGCUAACUACGUG